UCCUACGGGAGGCAGCAGUGGGGAAUUUUCCGCAAUGGGCGAAAGCCUGACGGAGCAAUCUCGCGUGAGGGAUGACUGCCUAUGGGUUGUAAACCUCUUUUUUCAGGGAGGAAUAAAUGACGUGUACCUGAAGAAUAAGCAUCGGCUAACUCCGUGCCAGCAGCCGCGGUAAUACGGAGGAUGCAAGUGUUAUCCGGAAUCACUGGGCGUAAAGCGUCUGUAGGUGGUUUAAUAAGUCAACUGUUAAAUCUUGAAGCUCAACUUCAAAAUCGCAGUCGAAACUAUUAGACUAGAGUAUAGUAGGGGUAAAGGGAAUUUCCAGUGGAGCGGUGAAGUGCGUAGAGAUUGGAAAGAACACCGAUGGCGAAGGCACUUUACUGGGCUAUUACUGACACUCAGAGACGAAAGCUAGGGUAGCAAAUGGGAUUAGAUACCCCAGUAGUCCUAGCUGUAAACAAUGGAUACUAGAUGUUGAACAGAUCGACCUGUGCAGUAUCAAAGCUAACGCGUUAAGUAUCCCGCCUGGGAAGUAUGCUCGCAAGAGUGAAACUCA
rnacentral:rRNA from 1 species